rnacentral:lncRNA from 1 species
AACCUAAUUUCUUUUCGGUGCAGCCCUUUCACGUGCAGGCGGCUGUGAUGCCGUCUCCUCCCUGCACCCCACCAUGAAGCGGGUGCCGUCACCCCAUUCUGCGGGUGAGGACGCCGAGGCCAGAGGAGAAGGGAUAGGCCAGGACCACACCCGGAGCCGCGGAUUUUACUUCUUGUUCCUGGGCCAGCAGCGAACCAGCUGGGGUCCCGGGAGGAUUCGGGAGGACUGUCCACGGAGCAGCGGCUGCCUUCCCACAGUCUUCCGGGUCAGGGAGCGACCCCGCGGGAGAGCACCUCCACCGGCUAGGGGACCCUCUUCUGCAUCCAUCCCCCUGGUGAGAUACCCACCACCCCGGGGCUCAGCCCCCCACCCCAGGGACACGCCUGGCCUGGCGUCCAGGGGUCAAGCAUGUGGCUCACCAGUCAGGAGCCCGGACAUCCUCUGAGAGCCUCAGGCUCGCCUCCCGAAAGGGAGGGGUGACUCACCCACCAGGAGAGCUAGCUCGGGGGACACACGUGUGACACGUGCCCGGCACACGGCAGGCCAGCACCGUCCUCCUUAGCAGGGUCCUCCCUCUCCCCUGCCUCCUGGGACAACCAGCCCCCCCCCACACCCCCUCCCCACCCCUCCAGGCCGCCUGGUGUGGGGUCCUCGUCCCGCUCGGGAGGUCUCAGAGCCCCGUGUCCACACCAAGGCGCUGUCGUUGGGAUCCCAGCGGCCUUCUUGGCGGGCGCCUCCGUGCCACGUGCUGGGCUCUGGGCCCCACCUCCAGCGCAAUCCGCCUGGCCGUCGUGCAACCCCAGGCAGGAAGCAGCACCUUCAGGAAGGUUCGAGUGACCCUCCUGGGCCGGGAGCCCUGCCGUCCAGCUGUGGCCACGCUCGGGGCGCGUCCGGGCCACCGGCCGGCCGGUCCACUGCAGGACCCACGUAAUCUGCCCAAAGCAGCACGGCUAGUUAGAAGUUUUAUUGAUUGAACACGAUCGAGUGGAAAUAGUAAAAGUUCUCCCGAUGUAACCCACUUUUUCUUAAUGGGUAAUCUCAGACACUCGAGUUUGUAUGUUAAAGGAGCUUUAGGACAAUUUAAUAGCUCAUAAAAUUUUAUAGUCCCAGUUGAAAUCAGAGUGAUAACUCUGGCCUGCACAGCUAUAGUUUGCUAAAUGUCUCUCGUCUUUUUUUCUUUCUUUCCCUUCCAUUUAUUGGAGAGUUAACAUCUGCUCGGCUAUGGGGCGGUGGGGGGAGACGGAAAGGAAAGGAAAAUAAUCAUCUGUUUCUCCAGAAGAGAGGGAAGACAUUCGGGCUCUCCCGGCAACAUCUCAGUUUCCAAGCACGUGGUUUUCCUUGAAGUCAGAAAGAGGUUGAGGUUGAAUAAGCCGCCUGGCCCACCGCUGCGAGGCAUCGGGGCCCCUCCGGUGACCGCUGGUCCUGGUCUGCCCCGGGCCGCAGCC